rnacentral:rRNA from 1 species
AUACGGGGGGGGCGAGCGUUGUCCGGAAUCAUUGGGCGUAAAGGGUGAGUAGGCGGGAUGGUAAGUCAGAGGUGAAAGUCCAGGGCUCAACUCUGGAUCUGCCUCUGAUACUGCUGUCCUUGAGUGCGGGAGAGGGAAGUGGAAUUCCCGGUGUAGCGGUGAAAUGCGUAGAUAUCGGGAAGAACACCAGUGGCGAAGGCGGCUUCCUGGCCCGCAACUGACGCUGAAUCACGAAAGCGUGGGGAGCAAACAGGAUUAGAUACCCCAGUAGUCC